rnacentral:rRNA from 1 species
ACGGGAGGCAGCAGUGAGGAAUAUUGGUCAAUGGGCGGAAGCCUGAACCAGCCAAGUCGCGUGAAGGAUGAAGGUAUUAUGUAUUGUAAACUUCUUUAGCAGCAGAGUAAUAAGGGGGUCGAGACCUCCGAUGCAAGUAUGCUGAGAAUAAGGAUCGGCUAACUCCGUGCCAGCAGCCGCGGUAAUACGGAAGAUGCGAGCGUUAUCCGGAUUUAUUGGGUUUAAAGGGAGCGUAGGCGGACUGUUAGGUCUGUGGUCAAAUGUCAGGGCCCAACCUUGGCAUGCCAUGGAAACCGGCGGUCUUGAAUACACGCAAGGCAGAUGGAAUUCGUCGUGUAGCGGUGAAAUGCUUAGAUAUGACGAAGAACUCCGAUUGCGAAGGCAGUCUGCUGGAGUGCGAUUGACGCUGAGGCUCGAAAGCGCGGGUAUCAAACAGGAUUAGAUACCCUGGUA